AAGUCGUAACAAGGUAUCCGUAGGUGAACCUGCGGAUGGAUCAUUCAUGUGAGGACACACCCACUUAGCGUGCGUGUAAGUCCGCCUGUCUUGUGCAAUGUGCUGGAUGAUUGGCGUGUGUCUCUGUACCAUGCCAACAGCUUUUUAACUCAAUUUCAUACUAUUUUCUUACAACCAAAUGAACCUUGAAAACUGCCAGCAAUGGAUCCCUCGGUUCUC
rnacentral:misc_RNA from 1 species